ensembl:antisense Gm27232 predicted gene 27232
CUCCAGGAGAAAAACUGAUCUGAUCGGUGCUAUUACUUUUGGUGAGAGCAUUUGGGAAGGCUGUCUGCAUCAUGACUGUCAAUGGAACUGACUGACUUCUUUGAGCUAUGUUGUUGGCACAUGCAUCUGUGUGAACAUUUGUGAAAACAUGAACUUCUGGCGUCACUGGACUUCCAAAGGGGGUUACAUUAGAUCGUGGGAUAUUAGACACAGGAUAGAGGGUGCUUCCACUAAGAUUCCGUUGGCGAUGGACAGCAGGGCUCACACUCCGGCACCUGAAGUUGCUGCCGGCAGAUGAAUUAGUUCCCUUAUUAUCAAGAGGAGCUGGGACUGCAAACCCUUCUUGCUUGUUGGUGUUUACAGUGGCACCUUGAUGCUGCACAGGAGAGACGGGAGUCAAACGACCAAAAUGAGUGUCAUGGUGUCUGGACUGAGACUGAUAUGACUGUCCAGGCACAGCAAAAGCAUGAGGUUUCCUGAAACGAUCUUCUACUAGUUCCUGAUAGCUUGGGAGAAUGCCAUGACCAGAAACCGAUGAAUUACUAACCCCACCAUACCCAUUAUUCAUCCAUUCAAGCUUGGUUUUAUCAGGGUGAG